rnacentral:rRNA from 1 species
UACGGAGGGUGCGAGCGUUGUCCGGAAUCACUGGGCGUAAAGGGCGCGUAGGCGGCUCGAGUAGUCAACGGUGAAAGCCUGGGGCUCAACCCCGGGUCGGCCGUCGAUACUCUCGAGCUUGAGCAUGGUAGAGGCAGGUGGAAUUCCGGGUGUAGCGGUGGAAUGCGUAGAGAUCCGGAAGAACACCGGUGGCGAAGGCGGCCUGCUGGGCCAUGUCUGACGCUGAUGCGCGACAGCGUGGGGAG